rnacentral:rRNA from 1 species
GACGAACGCUGGCGGCGUGCUUAACACAUGCAAGUCGAACGGAAAGGCCCUGCUUUUGUGGGGUGCUCGAGUGGCGAACGGGUGAGUAACACGUGAGUAACCUGCCCUUGACUUUGGGAUAACUUCAGGAAACUGGUGCUAAUACCGGAUAGGAGCUCCUGCUGCAUGGUGGGGGUUGGACAGCUUCGGCGGUUGGGGAUGGACUCGCGGCUUAUCAGCUUGUUGGUGGGGUAGUGGCUUACCGAGGCUUUGACGGGUAGCCGGCCUGAGAGGGUGACCGGCCACAAUGGGACUGAGGGACGGCGCAGACGCCAACGGGAGGCAGCAGUGGGGAAUAUGGCACAAUGGGCGGAAGCCUGAUGCGGCGACGCCGCGUGCGGGAAGACGGCCUUCGGGUUGUAAACCGCUGUCGCCUGUGACGAAGCGUGAGUGACGGUAAUGAGUAAAGAAGCACCGGCUAACUACGUG